CCUACGGGAGGCAGCAGUGGGGAAUAUUGCACAAUGGGGGAAACCCUGAUGCAGCGACGCCGCGUGAGUGAAGAAGUAGUUCGUUAUGUAAAGCUCUAUCAGCAGGGGAGAAAAUGACGGUACCUGAGUAAGAAGCCCCGGCUAACUACGUUCCAGCAGCCGCGGUAAUACGUAGGGGGCAAGCGUUAUCCGGAUUUACUGGGUGUAAAGGGAGCGUAGACGGGAGUGCAAGUCUGGAGUGAAAGGCGGGGGCUCAACCCCCGGACUGCUCUGGAAACUGGACGGCUGGAGUGCAGGAGAGGUAAGUGGAAUUCCUAGUGUAGCGGUGAAAUGCGUAGAUAUUAGGAGGAACACCAGUGGCGAAGGCGGCUUACUAGACUGUAACUGACGUUGAGGCUCGAAAGCGUGGGGAGCAAACAGGAUUAGAUACCCCGGUAGUC
rnacentral:rRNA from 1 species